CAUUGAAACACCGGUUCUUGUACAAUCACUGAAGUUAAGCAAUGUUGAGCCUGGUCAGUACCUAGAUGGGUGACCACUUGAGAAUAGCAGGUGCUGUAAG
rnacentral:rRNA from 1 species